GUACCCAUAGCUCAGUUGGUGGAGCACGAGACUCUUGAGGGUCGUGGGUUCGAGCCUCAACUUGGGUAGA